GAUGUACGCUGGCGGCGUGCCUAAUACAUGCAAGUCGAGCGAACAGACGAGGAGCUUGCUCCUCUGACGUUAGCGGCGGACGGGUGAGUAACACGUGGAUAACCUACCUAUAAGACUGGGAUAACUUCGGGAAAUCGGAGCUAAUACCGGAUAAUAUAUUGAACCGCAUGGUUCAAUAGUGAAAGACGGUUUUGCUGUCACUUAUAGAUGGAUCCGCGCCGCAUUAGCUAGUUGGUAAGGUAACGGCUUACCAAGGCAACGAUGCGUAGCCGACCUGAGAGGGUGAUCGGCCACACUGGAACUGAGACACGGUCCAGACUCCUACGGGAGGCAGCAGUAGGGAAUCUUCCGCAAUGGGCGAAAGCCUGACGGAGCAACGCCGCGUGAGUGAUGAAGGUCUUCGGAUCGUAAAACUCUGUUAUUAGGGAAGAACAAAUGUGUAAGUAACUAUGCACGUCUUGACGGUACCUAAUCAGAAAGCCACGGCUAACUACGUG
rnacentral:rRNA from 1 species